AACGAACGCUGGCGGCAGGCCUAACACAUGCAAGUCGAGCGCGCCCUUCGGGGUGAGCGGCGGACGGGUGAGUAACGCGUGGGAACGUGCCCUUCUCUGCGGAAUAGCCUCGGGAAACUGAGAGUAAUACCGCAUACGCCCUUUGGGGGAAAGAUUUAUCGGAGAAGGAUCGGCCCGCGUUGGAUUAGGUAGUUGGUGGGGUAAUGGCCCACCAAGCCGACGAUCCAUAGCUGGUUUGAGAGGAUGAUCAGCCACACUGGGACUGAGACACGGCCCAGACUCCUACGGGAAGCAGCAGUGGGGAAUCUUAGACAAUGGGGGCAACCCUGAUCUAGCCAUGCCGCGUGAGUGAUGAAGGCCUUAGGGUUGUAAAGCUCUUUCAGCUGGGAAGAUAAUGACGGUACCAGCAGAAGAAGCCCCGGCUAACUCCGUG
rnacentral:rRNA from 1 species